rnacentral:rRNA from 1 species
CCUACGGGAGGCAGCAGUGAGGAAUAUUGGUCAAUGGGCGGAAGCCUGAACCAGCCAAGUAGCGUGAGGGAUGACUGCCCUACGGGUUGUAAACUUCUUUUAUAUGGGAAUAAAAUGUUCCACGUGUGGGCUUUUGUAUGUACCAUAUGAAUAAGGGUCGACUAAAUCCGUGCCAGCAGCCGCGGUAAUACGGAGGAUCCGAGCGUUAUCCGGAUUUAUUGGGUUUAAAGGGAGCGUAGGUGGGUUGUUAAGUCAGUUGUGAAAGUCGGCGGCUCAACCGUAACAUUGCAGUUGAAACUGGAAGUCUUGAGUACAGUAGAGGUAGGCGGAAUUCGUGGUGUAGCGGUGAAAUGCAUAGAUAUCACGAAGAACUCCGAUUGCGAAGGCAGCUCACUGGACUGCAACUGACACUGAGGCUCGAAAGUGUGGGUAUCAAACAGGAUUAGAUACCCGGGUAGUC